GCAGAUACUAAUUAGAUUAAACGUUGUGCAUCUUAUCCGUUGCAAGAGUGUGUGUAAGUCAUGGCACUCUUUGAUCUCCAGUAACCAUUUUAUUAAAGAUCACCUCAAACAUAGUUACAACUCUGAUUGCAAUAGUACUCAGAUUGGACAUCGACGAGUGGUUAUAACUCAUUUACCCCGCUCCCUCUUUAAGUUAGAAAUUGGUCCCUGGUAUUCUAGUUUUCGUGAACGUUUUCAACUUCUUGGUUCUUCAAAUGGGUUGGUAUGCAUUUGUAUUCAUAAUGCCGAAUUGUUUGUGGUUAACCCUUCAACUAGAGAGAUGACAAAAUUGAGAAAGCACAAGUUUGGUAACAAGCCCCGGGCGGAUUGUGAAGGGAAAUCAGUAUUAUGUUUCGGUUUUGGCUAUGAUUCAUCCAUAGAUGAUUACAAAGUUGUAGUCGGUUUCAUGAAAAGUAACUACAUGACAUGCUUUCACGUCGUAACCUUGAAAUCCAAUGCUUGGACACUUGUUGGAGACGUGAACUAUUGUUAUCUUAAAAGCGUUGGUGUCUUGUGCAACGGGGCGCUUCGUUGGGUUAUGGAGGAUCCAAAUGAGAAUAAAGUGAUUAUCUCUUUUGAUUUAUCUCGAGAGAAUUUUAAAUUAAUCCCCCAAUCAGAUGAUGAUAUGGUAUAUCAAUCAUUGAUUAUUGAAGAAUGUCUAUGCAUAUUUGAUUAUGAAUACAUGCUUUCUCAAAAGAUUUGGAAGAUGAGUCAUUACAAUGUAAAGCAAUCUUGGACAAUGAUACAUGAGUGGCAAAUGACGAAUGAUUUUGCACACUGUUUGAGUGGAUUAUAGAAGUAUGACGUUCUAAGUGAGAAGUCCUUGUGUCAUGAGAUACAGUUGUGCAGGACUCUGGAUAUCAUUAUUGCCCCGAUAUAUGUGCAGAGUCUUGUAUCUCCACAUUUUCAAUAUCAUGUCAAACAAAAGAGAAAGAAGCAGCCAACAAAUAGCAAGAGGACUACUGCUAAGAAACUUAAGGGAGAUAUUACGGUUCAUGGGUCGACUCCUGAAGUUUGAUGAUGUUGAAGACAUCAAGCUGAGCCUUUGCAUAUCAUUUGGGAGCAUCAUUUAAGCAAAUGCCGAAUUCAAAUUGUUGAUAUCCCCGAGUAGUUUGCGUCUGUUUGUGUUGGUCUGGAGUUGUCUACGAUUAUAGUCCAUCUGAUGCUUUUGGAGCAAAAAGUUUCUUUUGCAAUGAAAGAGAAAGCCAGAUUUUUGUGGACUCUUCUUUUCAUUAAAAUUGGAAAUUUGCAUUUCAAAGGUUAUCCUGAAUAGAUGGGGAGUUAAGAAAAGUUUCUGUACUGUUUAAGUUAGAUUUUAUUGUCUUACAACUCCAAUACUUUAAGGUUUCCUUUGCGUGCAAUUAUGACUUCGAACUAAACUGAUAUGCAUGAGAAGUGUUCAACUUUUUAACCGAAAUUGUAAUGUUUCUGAUUAGCAAAUA